rnacentral:rRNA from 1 species
UACGGAGGGUGCGAGCGUUGUCCGGAAUCACUGGGCGUAAAGCGCACGUAGGCGGUCCGCUAAGUCAUGUGUGAAAUCCCCCGGCUCAACCGGGGAAUUGCGCCUGAUACUGGCGGGCUCGAGGUCGAUAGGGGUGAGCGGAACUCCAGGUGGAGCGGUGAAAUGCGUAGAUAUCUGGAGGAACACCGGUGGCGAAAGCGGCUCACUGGAUCGAAUCUGACGCUGAGGUGCGAAAGCUAGGGUAGCAAACGGG